rnacentral:rRNA from 1 species
GAUGAACGCUGGCGGCGUGCCUAAUACAUGCAAGUCGAGCGAACAGACGAGGAGCUUGCUCCUCUGACGUUAGCGGCGGACGGGUGAGUAACACGUGGAUAACCUACCUAUAAGACUGGGAUAACUUCGGGAAACCGGAGCUAAUACCGGAUAAUAUAUUGAACCGCAUGGUUCAAUAGUGAAAGACGGUUUUGCUGUCACUUAUAGAUGGAUCCGCGCCGCAUUAGCUAGUUGGUAAGGUAACGGCUUACCAAGGCGACGAUGCGUAGCCGACCUGAGAGGGUGAUCGGCCACACGGGAACUGAGACACGGUCCAGACUCCUACGGGAGGCAGCAGUAGGGAAUCUUCCGCAAUGGGGGAAAGCCUGACGGAGCAACGACGCGUGAGUGAUGAAGGUCUUCGGAUCGUAAAACUCUGUUAUUAGGGAAGAACAAAUGUGUAAGUAACUAUGCACGUCUUGACGGUACCUAAUCAGAAAGCCACGGCUAACUACGUG